CGGGUUUUGAUGGGCUGGCAGAAGUGAGGAUUGAGGGUGGGUUAUUCUUGCAUGGGAGAUUACGCGCAAGCCAAAAAUGCAUGGGAGGACUUUGGCUUCCAAGACAUCAAACUAUUUAACUUGGCCGAGGACACUUGACAAACCGUCGUUGAUUUGCAUGAGUUUGUGUAUGGCUAUAAGGAGGUUGACGCCGGACUUCUAUUGAAAAAUUGGAGAUAAGGCGAAUGUGGGGAUUUGGGAUGAUA
rnacentral:lncRNA from 1 species